rnacentral:rRNA from 1 species
CCUACGGGUGGCAGCAGUGAGGAAUAUUGGUCAAUGGGCGAAAGGCUGAACCAGCGAAGCCGCGUGAAGGAAGAAGGAUCUAGGGUUUGAAAACUCUUUUUAUAGGGGAGUAAAGGUAUCCAGGUGAGCAUAUUUGAAUGUACGCUAUGAAUAAGCAUCGGCUAACUCCGUGCCAGCAGCCGCGGUAAUACGGAGGAUGCGGGCGUUGUCCGGAUUGAUUGGGGUGAAAGGGUGCGUAGGUUGUUUUUUAUGUCAGCGGUGAAAGCUAGUGGCUCAACCUUAGAACUGCCUUUGAAACUGGAAGACUUGAGUGUGUGUGAGGUAGGCGGAAUGCGUGGUGUAGCGGUGAAAUGCAUAGAUAUCAGGCAGAACUCCGAUUGCGAAGGCAGCUUACUAGGCCAUAACUGACACUGAGGCACGAAAGCGUGGGGAGCAAACAGGAUUAGAUACCCGAGUAGUC